CCUACGGGAGGCAGCAGUGGGGAAUAUUGCACAAUGGGCGCAAGCCUGAUGCAGCCAUGCCGCGUGUAUGAAGAAGGCCUUCGGGUUGUAAAGUACUUUCAGCGGGGAGGAAGGGAGUAAAGUUAAUACCUUUGCUCAUUGACGUUACCCGCAGAAGAAGCACCGGCUAACUCCGUGCCAGCAGCCGCGGUAAUACGGAGGGUGCAAGCGUUAAUCGGAAUUACUGGGCGUAAAGCGCACGCAGGCGGUUUGUUAAGUCAGAUGUGAAAUCCCCGGGCUCAACCUGGGAACUGCAUCUGAUACUGGCAAGCUUGAGUCUCGUAGAGGGGGGUAGAAUUCCAGGUGUAGCGGUGAAAUGCGUAGAGAUCUGGAGGAAUACCGGUGGCGAAGGCGGCCCCCUGGACGAAGACUGACGCUCAGGUGCGAAAGCGUGGGGAGCAAACAGGAUUAGAUACCCCUGUAGUC
rnacentral:rRNA from 1 species